rnacentral:rRNA from 1 species
AGAGUUUGAUCCUGGCUCAGAGUGAACGCUGGCGGCGUGCCUAAUACAUGCAAGUCGAACGGACGAGUAAGAGCUUGCUCUUAUGAGUUAGUGGCGCACGGGUGAGUAAUGUAUAGUUAAUCUGCCCUACACUGGAGGACAACAGUUAGAAAUGACUGCUAAUACUCCAUACUCCUUCUUAACACAAGUUAAGUCGGGAAAGUUUUUUCGGUGUAGGAUGAGACUAUAUUGUAUCAGCUAGUUGGUGAGGUAAUGGCUCACCAAGGCUAUGACGCAUAACUGGUCUGAGAGGAUGAUCAGUCACACUGGAACUGAGACACGGUCCAGACUCCUACGGGAGGCAGCAGUAGGGAAUAUUGCUCAAUGGGGGAAACCCUGAAGCAGCAACGCCGCGUGGAGGAUGACACUUUUCGGAGCGUAAACUCCUUUUGUUAGGGAAGAACAAUGACGGUACCUAACGAAUAAGCACCGGCUAACUCCGUGCCAGCAGCCGCGGUAAUACGGAGGGUGCAAGCGUUACUCGGAAUCACUGGGCGUAAAGGACGCGUAGGCGGAUUAUCAAGUCUUUUGUGAAAUCUAAUGGCUCAACCAUUAAACUGCUUGAGAAACUGAUAAUCUAGAGUGAGGGAGAGGCAGAUGGAAUUGGUGGUGUAGGGGUAAAAUCCGUAGAGAUCACCAGGAAUACCCAUUGCGAAGGCGAUCUGCUGGAACUUAACUGACGCUAAUGCGUGAAAGCGUGGGGAGCAAACAGGAUUAGAUACCCUGGUAGUCCACGCCCUAAACGAUGUAUACUAGUUGUUGCUGUGCUAGUCAUGGCAGUAAUGCACCUAACGGAUUAAGUAUACCGCCUGGGGAGUACGGUCGCAAGAUUAAAACUCAAAGGAAUAGACGGGGACCCGCACAAGCGGUGGAGCAUGUGGUUUAAUUCGAAGAUACGCGAAGAACCUUACCUGGGCUUGAUAUCCUAAGAACCUUGUAGAGAUACGAGGGUGCUAGCUUGCUAGAACUUAGUGACAGGUGCUGCACGGCUGUCGUCAGCUCGUGUCGUGAGAUGUUCGGUUAAGUCCGGCAACGAGCGCAACCCACGUAUUUAGUUGCUAACAGUUCGGCUGAGCACUCUAAAUAUACUGCCUUCGUAAGGAGGAGGAAGGUGUGGCCGACGUCAAGUCAUCAUGGCCCUUAUGCCCAGGGCGACACACGUGCUCAAUGGCAUAUACAAUGAGACGCAAUAUCGCGAGAUGGAGCAAAUCUAUAAAAUAUGUCCCAGUUCGGAUUGUUCUCUGCAACUCGAGAGCAUGAAGCCGGAAUCGCUAGUAAUCGUAGAUCAGCCAUGCUACGGUGAAUACGUUCCCGGGUCUUGUACUCACCGCCCGUCACACCAUGGAGUUGAUUUCACUCGAAGCCGG